rnacentral:rRNA from 1 species
AUUGUGGUCUAAAGAAGCAAUGUAUGUCAGCAGCUCGGGCUAAGUCCUUUGGAAAAAGGCAGCAGAGAGGGUGAGACUCCCGUUCUUGCCUGAGAUGCUUGACUUGAAUCAUGUCUUCAACGAGUCGAGUUGUUUGGGAUUGCAGCUCAAAGCGGGUGGUAAAUUCCAUCUAAAGCUAAAUAUUGGUGGGAGACCGAUAGCGAACAAGUACCGUGAGGGAAAGAUGAAAAGAACUUUGAAAAGAGAGUUAAAGAGUACCUGAAAUUGCUGAAAAGGAAGCGAAGGAAACCAGUGUUAUCUCCAACCAUUUUUCUCGUGCUGCUUGCAGUGUGAGCGCUGUGGUUGAGGGUAGGCCAGCAUUGGCUUGGACCGGGGCAAAAGGAUGCUGCCCUGGACCAGGCUGAGGCUAGCUCGUGUGAUGCUGGCAAAAUGGUUUUCUUUACCCCGUCUUGAAACACGGACCAAGGAGUCUAACAUAUGUGCAAGUAUAGGAGUGGCAAACUCCCAUGCGCAAUGAAAGUAACAGUGGUGUUCAAUUGUCAACAUCCGCCGGCCACAAUCCCUUGGGAGAAAGGUCUGAGUGUGAGCAUACAUGUUGGGACCCGAAAGAUGGU